rnacentral:rRNA from 1 species
UACAGAGGGGGCGAGCGUUGUUCGGAAUUACUGGGCGUAAAGGGCGCGUAGGCGGCCCGCUAAGUCGAACGUGAAAUCCCCAGGCUCAACCUGGGAACUGCGUCCGAUACUGGCAGGCUUGAAUCCGGGAGAGGGAUGUGGAAUUCCAGGUGUAGCGGUGAAAUGCGUAGAUAUCGGAAGGAACACCAGUGGCGAAAGCGGCUUCCUGGUCCAGCAUCGACGUUCAGGCACGAAAGCGUGGGGAGCAAACAGG